UUUUUCCACUCAUAAAAACUCAUACACAGAUGCAGAUAGCCAUCGAUAUACAGGACACCACAUUCACUCACAAUAGAAUAUACAUACACACUGCAAAUUCACACACUAGACAUAUACACACAACAACACCCAUCUCAAAGCCUCCAUUUUUUCUCACAUACGCACCAUCAGAAAGGAGAGAGGAACCUAUACACAGCAACGCACUCACACACAUAUACAUAUACGAACAUCCACAGCAACACAUAAAAAGGAGGGCUUGAUUUUCUCCAUUGAUCCCUCAUUCACCUUCUACACAUCCUCACUACACAGAAAUAUACACAACGCAGACUGGAGAUGGAGGGAAUCACACAUCAUCACUCUUAGGAACACAAUCACAGACCUCACCUAUUCCAUACACACACAAUCACUAAAAUUAACUCACACACGUACAAACACAGUUGAACAACGGAGAAUCGGUAGCAAAGGAAGAGAAAAUGGCGGAGGGGAGAUAGAGAUCAGAAAUAGAAAAGAUCUCUCUCUCUCGAGAAAGAAAAUAGAGAGAAAACUGGUUUUAGCUUGGUUUUCGGUGAAGCCUCGUCGGAAUACACCGUCCCAUCACUGCCAAACAGCCAAAAACCCAAAACCAGCGAGAACACCCCAAAUAUCUGAUAAGAAAUCGACCAAUCUCACGUUCUUUGCUACUAUUUGGGUCGCUGGAGCUGCAAACAAGAGCCCACUUAGAUUUCAACAAACCCAUUUAAGUUCAAGCCAAAAUCGGCAGUUUAGGCUCGUAUUGUGGUUGUUUUAGGCUGGUCUGUUGGGAUCGAGGUUCGAAUCGAGAGUUUUCAAAUCCGUCUUUGUCUUUCGAUCACAUAAUUUGGCACAAUAAAAGCUUCAAUCGAGGUUCAAAUCUAUUGUUCUCUUUUUAUUUCAUCUUUUAUUAUAUUUAGUGUGUUACAUUAAAUAUCAUGUGUUGUUUGAUCUUGGUUGGUGAUGAAUUGCUACUUGUUUGAUUUGGAUGAUUGUUACUUGUUUGAUUUGGAUGAUUCUCUUGGAUUAUGAUUUAUAUGAUGAAAUGAUAUUUUGUUUGAGAAUUAAGAUUGGUUUUUUGGGGCGAGAUUAAAAAUUGAAAGAAGUGAAUAUUGAUUUUAUUUUGAUUCAUUGAUGAUUGUUUAAUUCGAAAUAUGUAUUGAUGUUGUUAAAUGCAAUUGCGUCACAAUGGGUUGAAAUUGGAAGGCAAAUGGUAGGACGGGUAGGAAAAUUUAGGCAUUGUGAAUUGAUGGAAUGUUUGAAAUGUGUGUUAAAAUGGUUUUGUUUUAUCGCAUUUGAUUCAAUUGUACUCAUUUGCUCGGGGAAUGCCCCGAGAUAUUUAUAUUGUUUUAUCCAGGAAAUGCCUCGAGAAAGUUGUACUCAAAGAUGGUUCGUGAUCAAGGCCCGAGGUAUUGGGUAGAGCAUAGGCUAGGAUUAGUUUAGAAUAGGAUUUAUAUUUAAGCAUUUUUCUAUUUUCUAGACUUUAUAAUUCGGUCAUAGACACUAUUUUGGAUUUUUGAUUAUUUGGUUGUUUUGUUUGCUUGUUAUAUGUUUUGUUGGUUUAUACACUUCGUAGCAUUAUACUAGCUGAUAUACUCCAUGAAGAGACCAUGGUCGAACCACGGGAUCGAGGGGUGCAUAACACCUUCCCCUCGAUCAACCAAAAUCCUCAGCUGGAAUCUCUGUUCGCGAAUCAGUAUCUAGAGUCAAAUCAUUUUGAAAAAAGAUUUUUCAAAGAUGACUUGGCACACCAGAUUUAUGUCAAGUGGCGACUCUUAGUUUAAAUAUAAGAAGUCCUUUUCAAAACUAAUUUUCAUUUCUUGUCAUUUAAUAAUAAAAUCCUUUCAAACUUAUAAUCAUUCCUUUUGGUAAAAAGGGGUGUGACAGCUCUGGGCACUAGCUGGGGAGACUUUUUUUGAAUUCAAGCUUAUUUUUGGGGUAAUAUAGUCAUUUGAUGGACUGAUUGUUGCAUCUUUGAGGGUAAUAUAGUCAUUUGAUGGACUGAUUGUUGCAUCAUGCUUCUCUGGCUCCUUAGUAUAAGCCUAAUAUAUUCACAACACCAUAUGUCAUCUCUGAUUUUGCUGCUCAACCCUCUACUGAGGCUUCCAUAUUGUCUAUCCGCCCAGGGGUUGUGGUUUCCCAUGCCGCUAAUGAACCCAUGUUAAAUACUCUUGAUGAUCAUUUCUAUGCUCCUGAGCCUACUUUUAAGUUAACUGGAGCACCAAAAUUUCUUAACAAGAAGCCUAUCGUGCCAGAAGAGCCAGAGAAAACGGUUGGAAAAAGAAAAAGUAUAGAAAAUGCUAUGAAAAGUUCCCUAGGACUAGCGGAUAAAGAAGAUAUUUCAUAUAAAGACUGGGACAUAUUUUCAAGUGUCAACCUUUCUCAAAGCUUUGAGAUAUCGAAAUUUGGGAAACAUGAUGGACAUGAGGAUUUUGUGAAACAUUUGGGACGAUACUGAAGUCAAUUAUAGAAAACUAAAGGGAAGAAGAAGGAAAACAUACCUAUUGUCGGGCCAGUGACAAAGCAUAGCUCGAGAGGUCCAACUUACCAAUACUGUCAGCCUCAAUCCCGAGCUUACAUAUUAGAUCCACAUACUCAUCUAAAUAAGGUUUCUCGUUCCAAAGUCUAAGAUAUUUCAUUCUACUUCCUCAAUAUCCUUUGAACAAUGCACAAUUGUAUACUCGUUCGUCAUCUUAUCCACAAUGGAAAGCAAUGAUCUCUCAACAUUGUCCUUGGCCCCCACAUAUUUACCAAGGUGCCUCUAAAUCCAAGUUUAAACCAAGGCCAGAGUUUGCAAAGAGGAGGAAAGAAAAGGAUAAUUUCACUCCUAUUAGGGAAUCCUAUGCCAGUUUAUUCCAUAGAUUGGUACAAUGGGGCAUGAUCACAUCUCUUCUUGGGUAUACUCCUGACCUGCAUUCAAGAAGUUUUGAUCUUAAUGUACAAUUUUCAUAUCAUUCUGAUGUUCAGGGUCACAGUAUUGAAGAUUAUGGUGCUUUGAAAAGGGAAAUAGAAAAGAUAAUUCAAGAUAAAUCGAUUGGGGUGCAGAACAUUGACAGUGGUGGAAAGGUCUAGUCAUGAUGAUGUGCAACUCAGUGGCUAAGAUGUCAAGCUCAGUAAUUAGAAAGUCACUCCUCUCCUUACCAGGAAGUAUUAUUGGUAGUUUGUUUUGUUUUCCUUUUUGUUUUCUGAAUUAUUUCAGGAUUGUAAUUCGGAACUUAUCUUGUUUUGUUUCUUUGUCGUUUAUGUUUAAACACUUCUAUCUUCCCUUUCAACAAAAUGUAGUGUCCCUUUUUGCUUUUGUCUUAUCUUAAGUUGUUUGUUUUAUUUCUUUACACAGUACAUUUUAUGUAGAUUCUAGUGACAUGAGAUGCUGGUGAAAUUUUCAGUUAAAUCUUAAAAUCCAAUUUAAGCAUGAACUUUUAAUCAAAGACCAAAGCUAGAAAAAAUAUUUAAUAAAAUCGGUAGAGUACCGAGACAUUUGGUGACAAGUUAAAGCCUUCUUUGAAAAUUGAGGGAAUUAUUUUGAGAAUCACAAGAAUAACUUGGUCAUCAAUUGAAAGACAUGUCUCAAUUAGGUCAAAUAGUGGAUGUGUGAUCCGAUAUCAAAAGGGACAGAAAGAAAAUCAACUCCAUGAAAGAAUGAGUCAUUUGAUGUAAGAGAUGUAUAGCAAACGUGGAGUUGUAUGCUAGGCAAGUACAGAAAAAGUACUGACCUACAGGGUCAGUUAAAGUUAGUGCUCUAAAAAAUGUCAUACAUGAUCUUCAUCUCCCACUUUCAUAUUACAUGUUAUGUACUUGCAUUUUUAAGUAUUGAUAUGAUGAAGACAUUUCAUUCUACAAUUCAAACAUCGUUUCAUCCUUUAUUUACCCCAUUUGAGAUUUAGUGUUAUUUCUUUUCAUACCCCUCUUUCGAAAUCAAAAUAGAGUCAUAAAAAAUCCAAAAAAGUGUUGAGUAAGAGAAUAGAGUCAAAAAAGUUCAAAAAAAAAGUGUCCAAAAAGAAAGAAAAGAGAAGAUUGUUAAGAAAAAUAGAGUUAGAAAAAAAAUCGCAAAGAUAAAAGAGUCAAUAAAAGAAAAAAAGAAAAAAAAUAAGAAUCAAGCAAAAUAACAAAUUAUCGAAACUAUGUGUGACCUGAUUCUCUUCUUUCGGGGUUAAGAUACAUAGUAGGCUGCCCUACAUUGGGCUCGAUCUAACUAAAUAAAUUAUUUAGGAGUACUUAGUCAAAAGAACUGGGCCAUGAGUUAAUCCUCAUUGUUUGAGUCGAUUUCAAAAGUUGUAAGUCCUACCCCACUUUAAGUGUCAUUUUAGCCUCAUGUAUUUCUUUCUUUCUAACCUUAUCCAAAAUCCAAGUUACAAUCAAAGAAAGAUCUUCAGAUCAAUCUUUGAGAAUGUCAAGGCGAAGAAUGCAAUGGAUAUGAUAAUGCAUUUUGGGUACUACUUGUCUUUCCCAGCAUAAGGAAUCAGAAGAGAAAUAAAAAUGAGUGAGUCUUAUUGGUGAAAACCCUCACGGGCACCGUAAGACAAUGGUAAGUUGAGAGAGAUAAAAAUGAGAGAGUCUUAUCAGUGAAAACCCUCACGACACUGUAAGAAGAAUGUGAGUAGAGAGAAAUGAAAAUAAGAGAGUCUCAUUGGUGAAAAAUCUUCACAGAUUCCAUAAGGCAGUGGUGAGGUGAGAAAAAGAAAAUGAGAGAGGCUUGUUAGCAAAAACCCUUCAAGGAGCCACUAGAUGAAUGAGGUCUCCAAAUGCAAUUGGUCUAAGAAAGUAACUCAGUUUCAGGUCCAUUAACUCAAGAACAAUUGGUAGAAAGUUUGGACGGAAAGAUCAGACAGCUUAAUCCAAAAUGCAUGACAUAAUCAUUAGAGUCGACUAUCAUUUUUAGAUAAAUUUUUUAUUUCUUUAUUUCAAAUGGGGACAUUCAAUGUCUUUUCUUUCUUCUCUUUAUCUUUAUUUUAUUUUAUUGAGUCAGUUAUUCAAAUAAAAAUCAUUGUCAUUUUUCUCUUGUCUUUGAGUCAAGUCCAUAUCAAAACAAGUGAGAAAAGAUUUCAAGACUAGCUACCAGAUUCUUCAAUUGCACAAAGCAAGACAAAUGCCAACACAUGAAAAAGACAUGAUUGUGAGCCCAAAUAAGGCAUGCAGAAAGUUUUGUCAACAGAAAAGUUUGGGAACUCAUGGAAAUACCAAGGUUCAAAGGGUUUAUCUGAGAAACAUGGAAAAACAGAGAUACUGUGUUUAUUUUAGAGUCACUCUUAAUAUUAUUAGUAUGGGUCAGUGGUGAAACAAGGCAAUGACAAGUGUUAAUGAUUGGAAACAAGAUUUAGAUGUGACAAGUGCAAGCAAAAUCGCCUUAAAAGCCAAAGCCUCAAGCCAACCACCCUGUUUUAAACUCACAAGUUUUGUUUGUAUGAAACAGGAGCAGUUGCUACCGUCUAAUCAAAGGUUUCAAAGCACAAAUAUCCCAAAGUACAAUUCCUCAUUUCUGCAAAUGCAAGAGCAGUAUUGUUGUAUAGGUUUGAUAAUCACAAUUAUGGUAAAACUCAUUAUCUUGUACCCCUAAGAGACACGCUCUCUAAUUUAGGUCUUUCAUGUCUUAUGGAUAGUAGGUGAACUUCCUAAUUUGAGCCUUUAAUCCUAAAAGAUGCACUUUUAGUAAGAACCAUUCACUUUCACUCUUAAGAGAGGGACUUGCUGGGCUCAAUCAUUCAAUUUUACUCUCGAAAGGGUGUGUUUGUUAAUCGAAAUCAUGAUUCAUCUUUUCAUUAUGUGUUGUUACAAGUAGUUGUGAAUGGUUUUAAGACCCACAAAACUUUUGAUGAUAAACUAGGGAAAAAAGAAAAUCUAAUUCCUGUUAUUAGGAACUUCACUUUAGGACCCUCCUAGCAAAAUGAGACUUUACUUUUCUAGAAAAUGAAAUCUUUCUUUAUCAUAAUUUUUAUGUGGGAUAAUUUUUGUUCUAGUUUUGAUUUUGAUUUCAGGAGCCCGCCUGAAGAACAGGGUGAUGAAAUUGAAAGUCAGGAGCUCACUUGAACAACAAGGUGAUGAAAUAGCAAGUCAGGAGCCCGCUCGAAGAAUAGGGUGAUGAAUUUGAAAGUUGGAAGUUCUCCCGGAGAACAGAGUGAGGAAAUUGUAGGUCAGGAGCCCUCCUAAAGAAUAGGGUGAUAAAAUUACAAGUCGGGAACUCACCUGGAGAACAAAUUCAAGAAAUUGCAACCCGGGAGAUCUCUCGAAGAAAAGGGUGAUGAAAUUGAAAGUUGGGAGAUCGCCCGAAGAAUAGAGUGGGGAAAUUGCAAGUCAGGAGCCCACAUGAAUAAUAGGGUGAUGAAAUUACAAGUUGGGAGCUCACUCGAAAAAAAGAGUGAAUAAAUUACAACUCGAGAAUCUGCCCAAAAAAUAGGGUGAUGAGAUUGAAAGUCGGGAGCUUUCCCGGAGAACAGAGUGAGGAAAUUGCAAGUGAGGAGCACCACCUGAAGAACUGGGCGAUGAAAUUACAAGUUCGGAGCCUACUCAGAGAACAGAGUGAGGAAAUUGCAACUUGGGAGCCUUCCCAAAGAAUAGGGUGAUGAAAUUGCAACUCGAAAGCCCGCCCCAAAAAUAGGGUGAAGAAAUUACAACUCGGGAGCCCGCCGGAAGAAUAGGGCAAUGAAAUUAAAAGUUGGGAGCUCACCCGGAGAACAGAGCAAAAAAAUUACAAGUGAGGAGCCCGCCUGAAGAACAGGGUGAUGAAAUUGAAAGUCAAGAAAUAAGGUGAAGAAGCUGAAAGUCAAGAAGCAAGGUGAAGAAGUUUAAAGUCAAGCAACAACGUAAAGAAAUUAAAAGUCAACAGACUGAAGAAAUAGCAAGUCAGGAGCCCGCCCGAAGAACAGGGUGAAGAAAUCGAAAGCCAAGCAACAAAUUGAAAAAAUUGCAAGUCAGGAGCCCACUUGGAGAAUGGGGUGAAUAAAUUGCAGGUCAGGAGCCCGCCUGAAGAAUUGGGUGAUGAAACUCAGGUCAUGAGUCCAAAAGAAGCUUCAUAGAUAAAAUUUUUGUAAUUUCAUUUAUUUUUUAACUUGUAAUUUUUAUUUUUGAUGUAAUGAUAGAGCCGCGAACCGGAACCUCGACGGGACCUCACUCGACUCCCUAACUCGUGUAAUACCCCAUAUUUUCCUAACUUAAAUUAACUCUUAGUCCAUAAGUUAUCCUAUGUAAAAAUUUUGAAAUACUUAGUAUUUUUUAGUUUAGAGCUUACCAAUCCGUAGGAAAUUCAUUCAUCUUUCCAACAAUAUAACGUUCACCGAAAUCUGAUACCCGGGCAAGGAGUUAGAGCCUUUUUAAUAAGACAGUGUGCUACCUGAUACUUCAGCGCAUCGCGGAGGCUGCCUAAAUGAAAAUUGUCAUAUUCUAGUGAGAUAACAUGAUACUACCAUGUCGCACCACCAGCCAAUUUAGUAAUUUUCAAAAUCCAGUGUUGCUCUGCGAUAUUGGUGCACCGCGCCAUGGACCCAAUCCACAAUUGUCAAUUGCAAGUAAAGCAAUACGAUUAUACCGCAUCGAAGCUUUCAUGUCCCAUCCAGUAUUGCAAUACGAUUCCACCGAAUUGCGCCAUGAGCCACAUUCCAGUUGUCAUUUUUUAGUGGCGCAUCGCGCCAGGUGCCCAAAUUGAAAAAUUUUCAGUAAUGAUUUUAAAUCAUUCCCAGGGAUAAUUGGAUAUUUUUCCAUGACCCAAGCCAGACUUUAACACGUAAAUUUCCACAAAUUAAUCUAGUUACAUCAUUAUUAUUCAAUUUUCCCCAAAAUCAAAGUAUUCUCUCUCAAGAAAACAAACCCUAGCUUCAAGAAUCAAGGUCAAAACUCAAGAAUUUCUCCAGGAACCUUUAAGAACUAAUACUCCAAAGUAUGUUAGGUGUUCAUCUAUGGAUUCCUUUCACCCAUAGAGUACACGAAUCCUUUUUUCAAAUUUAUAAGAUCUCAUAUUUAUGAUUCCCAUGUUUGAAUUAGAUUGAAUUCAUGUUCAUUAGUUGGUUUUUAAAUCAACGAUUUAAGUGCAAGUUCAUGAAAUUGAAUAGCCCAUGUGAUGAAUAUGUGAUUAUCUUGAUAAACCUUUGUAUUUACAAAGUGAUUAAUGUGUCUAUGGUGUUAAUUGGGUUUAAUCCAUGAUUAUUAUAAGAUUCAUGAAAUUAUAUUAGUAUUUUAUGGGAAUUAUAUGAAUUGCAUGCUAAACCCAUGAAAUUGUUAGUUUGGGCAUUGUAGUUUCCAUGUUUAUAUGUUAUCCAUGAUUAUGUGCAUAAAGUUGUGCUCCCCAAGUGUUUGAUAGAAUGUCCAUGUGAAUAAAGUGAUGAAAUCAUGACAUGUUAGUAUAUGUACAAGCUUAAGCCCAAUAAGUGUUUGAUAAAAUGUCUCUAUAGAUGAAAUAUGCGCAUGUGUACAUUGUUAUGCUUUAUAAGAUCAUGUGAUGCUUUACUUUUCAUGCUAUCGAGUCUUGGGGGUAUUUAAUACCCAAUAAUUUAGUUGUUUACCUAGGGCUAGUGUCAGUUAAAUAAUAGUAUUAGUCAUGUCAUGACCAGUAGUACUCUCAGUUAGUUAUAGAACUCAGUUACAUAACUCAGAAAAACUUAGUAAACUCAGUGUCAGUUCAAUCCAGUUCAGUAUAAUCAGUUCAGUGUCUUUCAGUUGGGAGUAGGAUUCAGCACCAAUGAGCCUAGGGAUGGUGACUCACCUAUUAGUUAGGACUGGGUCCCUAGAAGCAAUUCCUAAGUUCCAUAACUACGUAGCCAUCGUAGGUUAUAAGAUGUCACUUUUUAGAUAGUACUGACAUACUUUGGGAUCACCCACUAGUUUAGGACUGAUCUCAGGGGUCACCCGUUAGUUAGGAAUGACUCCAUAGCCAGUGUUAGUACCAGUGGCACGGUAUUAUCACCUUUCCAACUGGGGUUAUAGAUUGGGCCCCAAUCAAUUCAGAGAAGGGCAUGUCGGUUUGAUGAUUACCUACCACAGUCUCAGUUUCAGUCUUCAGUUUAAAACUCAGUUUAUUUUUAUAAAAUCGGGACUAUCAGACAUAGUCAAUUAGUAUUAGUAAAUUAGUUAUCAAUAACUUUAGAUAUCAAUUACUCAGUUAUCAGAACUCAGUGCUCAGUUUUAGAAAAGCUUAGUUACAGUCUGUACGUAUAUGUACAGUAUUGCAUACUCAAUGAUUUCCAUAGUAUCAGUUAUCCACGUACUCUUAUAUUCAGUUACUCUAUAUCGUUCAGUCAGUUAUUAUUCAUGCAUAUGAAACCUUUCAUUUCAGCCUUACCUCAUCUAGCAUACUAGUACAUUCCACGUACUGACAGCAUACUCAUUUUUUGUGCUAUGAUGUCUCAUAUCAUAGGUUCAGGCGCUCAGAAUCCCGACUGCAUUUAGGCAGAUCUAGUCAGCAGUCAUAGAUUUAGUAGUGAAUCCUCAUCUAUCGAGGAUGUGCUUUUAUUUCAGUAUUUCAGUUUAUCAGUAGUUCAGUUGUUGGAGUUAGUUGGGGGCUUGUCCUAUCAACUCCAUAUUCAGACAGUCAGUUAAAGGCUUUCAGACUAGACCAGUUCAGACAAUGUUUAGUUUUCAGAUGUUUUUAACAGAUAUUAUAUUUUAUCAGUAUUUCAGUUUUGAACCUUAUGGCAUUUAAGCCUAUUUUCCACAUUCAGUAUAAUAUAUUAUUCAGUGCUCACAGCAGGUAUGCUUGUGGUCCCUCGGGACUGUAAGCACCUUGUUACGCCCAGGGUGUACUCUCUGGGUGUUACAACUCGGUAUAGUCUCUACCCUUCCAAACCUUUGAGAUACUUGUGACUUGACUCUCACAUAACUUGAGGCAUAUAAAAUGUCCAAAAUCAAGACUCGAUUGCCCUUCUUUCUUUUGUUUCUUUCUUUUGAAUAAUGCUCAGGACAAAAUUCUGUCUCGUUGUCUACUUCUUUGUAUGAAAACACUUUGUGUUUACAUCCAAAGGGGGCAUGAUGUAGACAUAUAAUUUUGUCCCGUCAAAAAUUAUUUUUAUCAUCUUACCCUAUUUUAUCACGCACCCCACCCCAUUCUAUAAUUUUUCUCCAAAAAGGACAAAAAAUAACCAA
rnacentral:lncRNA from 1 species